rnacentral:piRNA from 1 species
UGCUCACACAAAGCCUGUUGGGUGGUCUC